rnacentral:tRNA from 1 species
GCCCUGGUAGCUCAGCCUGGUGGAGCGACCGCUUGGUAAGCGGUAGAGCCUCGACGAAGAGGCGCCGACGUCCGGGGUUCAAAGCCCCGCCAGGGCU